rnacentral:rRNA from 1 species
GCUUAUGGCCACACCGCCUGGUAUACGCUUUGAUCUCGGAAGAUAAGGUAGGUUGGGCCUGGUUAGUACUUGGAUGGGAGACCGCCUGGGAAUACCAGGUGCUGUAAGCU